GGGGAAUAUUGGGCAAUGGGCGCAAGCCUGACCCAGCAACGCCGCGUGAGGGAAGAAGGUUUUCGGAUUGUAAACCUCUGUCGCAAGGGACGAAGAAGUGACGGUACCUUGUGAGGAAGCCCCGGCUAACUACGUGCCAGCAGCCGCGGUAAUACGUAGGGGGCGAGCGUUGUCCGGAAUUACUGGGCGUAAAGGGUGCGUAGGCGGCUAAUUAAGUUGGAUGUGAAAUACCCGAGCUUAACUUGGGGGGUGCAUUCAAAACUGGUUGGCUAGAGUUCAGGAGAGGGAAGCGGAAUUCCUAGUGUAGCGGUGAAAUGCGUAGAUAUUAGGAGGAACACCAGUGGCGAAGGCGGCUUUCUGGACUGACACUGACGCUGAUGCACGAAAGCGUGGGGAGCAAAC
rnacentral:rRNA from 1 species